CAGGGUUUGGCUACUAGACUACAAUUCAGAGCUUGGGGACAGGUGUCUCGUCCCUUCACAUUGCAUCCUGUGGGGAGCAACUGUUAUGUCGAUUCAUCUCUAUAGAAAAAAUCCGAAGAAGUCAUGGUAUCGUUGUAUUUGGAGAUACUGCAACCUCAACUGGACAAUACCCUGAGUAACCUGAACUAACUCAGAAAUUGACACUGCUUUGAGCAGAGGAUGAACUAAAUGAAAUCCCAAUGUCCCUUCCAGACUUGUGCAGCAGAUCCACAUAUCUGCCUGAGAAACAGGAUACUGCAGCUAAAUCCGUAUGAAAUCUGAAGUCAGA